rnacentral:misc_RNA from 1 species
UUGCACACUCACCACGCCUCACCUCCUCUCCUCCCCACACGCACACACCCCGCUGUAUCACAUUUGCAAAUACACGCACAAGUACACGUAUUCAGUCCUCUUCCACUACCCACGCGCGCCUCUUCUUGCUCGCCCCUUCCGCCCACCGACGGACUUGAAGCGCACACGCAACGCAAACCAGCGCGAGUCCGUUGAUCGACUCAGCGGUGGUUCUGUUUUCGGCGGCCGCGCGUGUAUGUCCCCUCACCGCACCUUCCCUCUCUCACUCUUUGUUCACAAUCGCGGUGCUGAAGCUCCCCUUAGCUGUUUACUCCACUCCCUCUCCACACCUGCCGCAAGCCCCUGCGAGGAGAGACGGAGUGUGUGUGCGUGCUGGAGAGGUCGCACGCCUCUACGUGCGUGCGUGAGUCUAUGAGGUUGGCCGUGAGCCUUUUCUCGUCUUUCGUUUUGUUGGCUUCUUAGGCACUUAUUAAACUUUCAUGCUUUUCUCCUUUUUUAAGCGCUCUCUUUUAUUGAAUCCCUCUCUGCGUUCUCUUUGUGUGUUUCGUUGUACGGUCUAUCCGAGACCGGCACAGUCGUUUCUCACGCCACGUAGCGGCUGCUUUAGCACUCCCGCAUAUAUACACACACUACACACGCACACACACAUAUCAUCGUGCACACAGAAUACCCGAGUCCCGCGUCAGGUUCCGGAGAAGACAAACAGGUGGAGCCUCCCCGUCAAUUCUUUCAUCGCAUCGUUCGUGUGUCUCCCCUAUCCAUUGCCCGCUCUCGUCUUACCCCCGUUUCAAACGCGUGGUCGCGCGCGUCUGUGCUUGCUUUGGGCCUGCACACACACACACACACACACACACACCCUUCCCUUCCCUCCCUGGGCGUCCACAUCCAGUUUUGUUCGUGUUCUCUCUUGUUCUUCCCUUUCGGCGUGACUGUGUGGGACAGGCCUCGGCACGCCAAGUCGCACGCACCGCCGUUUCGCCCUGUUUUGGCUUCUGCUUUGCUCGCUUCACCUGUCUCUCUAACCUUUAUUAUUUCUGUCGCCUUCCUUUUACAGCUCUGCGGACUGAUUCACAGUGUGCUUCCGCGCCUCUUUCACCCCUUCCUUGACCACCCGCAUUCGCCACCCUUUCCUCUCCUCAGAACGGAGACUCCUGGUAGCUCUGGCGGCUGUCCUCUUUCCCUCUCCCUCUGACACACUCUCUCUUGUGAUUUCGCCAGGAACGUCUCUCUUGCUUGGACAGAUCCGCCACGAAAAAAAUCCCGAAACGGACGUCAAGCGCAUAUACGGCUGAAGCCGCUGCUUUACACCAACGUUGGGCUUCACAGACUCAGCUGGCCGGUGCAGGCGCAUUCGUUUUCUCGUUGCCGCUUCACACGAGCCUCCUCCCUCAGAAUUCGAGAAAAGUGGGAGUUGCCGCUCACGAGCUCUCUGCACAGCGAGGAGGAAAGCGCUGACGGCGUGUGACGUGGUAUCCGCGAAGAGCGGACUACUCCCUUCAACCAGAGCGAGGCGCCUAUGCCUGGGGCUGGCCCGCUUGUACCCUCUCCUAACUCCACGACGACGACGCAGAACCCCCUGCUUUUAUUCGCCUCGCCAGGCGCACUGCCAGGAUUGAGCUUUUCCCGAAACAACUCCGAGGCCUUUGGCGAGGGCCAGCUCUUUACUCCUGCGGUGGGAGGCGAGUACUCUCCGAUGAGUGGCGGAGGCUCAGCUUUUCUCAGAUCUGACGACCGCAUGAUACGAGGCACUGCGCUGCGAACGGGAGAGAUGCGAGCGACUACGCUGGAAGCCGGCAACCACGCCUCUCCGUCCGCCGCCGAAAACGACGUGAACGACGGCAGCUGUGUCGAGAUGACGGCCGAGCAGAUCCCACUGGCCCAAGCCGAUGACCAAUACGAUGUCCUCCACCGCAGGUCGGCAUCUGCCAAUAGCCCAGCGCGAUGUCGCCCUCGGGCGGGAUGCUGCCAGCAACUCGGGCACACCAUCCUGCGCGUGUUGAUCCUGAUGAAGCGAGAGUGGUGCUCGACGCUGUGCGAGUUCUUGAUUCCCAUCCUUUUCGUUUUCGGCUCCGUCAUGCUGUGGGCCGUCUUUGGCACGGCACAGAAUUCCGCGGGUGUCUACUACUCUUCCACAGGACCGGAGAAGGUAUCCGCAAUGACCGAUAAAAUCAGCAGCUCCCUGUGCUACAACGCGUCCUUGGCGAGCGGCAUCGCCGGCUUAACGCCGUGUCUGGAGGGACAAAAGUAUUAUUGUCCCCACGGCCGCGGCAUCCCGACUGGCUUCUGCUACGACCCGCCUCUCAAAAACGUGGUAGCACAGCUCCUCGGCGCUCUGCCACUCACGACAUCGCCAAUGCUGCCCCUGGACACACUCAUCGCGUGCCAGUGGGUGGCGAUGGAUCAGUCGAUUCGAGCAUCAACGCCGUUCUCCUACGGCGGCCUGCUGUACUUUGCGCCGCGAACGCCGGAGGUGGAGUCGCUGGUGUCGUACAUGCGGACCCAGUCCAAGCUGUUCGACAACGCGUACGGCGGCACAUUUGCGACGGCAGCGGACGCUACGUCACACAUACUGUCGUUGACGCACGACGACCCGCCGACGUGGGGCGUUGUGGAGCUGGACAGCUACACGGCCGACACGUUCAACGUGAAGAUCAUGGUCAACUCAUCGGCCUUGCCAGCGACGUCGGACAGCAUUCUCAGCGGGUACCUUGGCGGGCUGGACAUGUCGACCAACUCGCCGUACAUCUUCUCGGGCUACACGACGCUGCAGACGCUCGUGUACAAUCACUACACCACGAGUGUGCUCGGCAAGCCGGCGACGAAGCCGCUGACCUACACCGCCAUGCCCACGAAGGCAUACAAUACCAGCUCCUUUUUGUUGACUGGUGCCUCCCUGGCGCCGCUGAUUUUGGUGCUUGGGUUCCUGUAUCCUGUUUCGCAGCUGACGAAGCGGAUUGUGGUGGAGAAGGAGCUGCGCAUUCGGGAGGCCAUGCUCAUCAUGGGUCUCUCUGAGUGGACCAUGUACCUUGCGUGGCUCGUGGUGUACGGCGUGUGGUACACUGUCGUGUCCAUUAUCAUCACGGUCCUCCUGCGCUUGACAUACUUGCCCGAAAGCAGCCCCGGGUACGUCUUCUUCAUGUUCUUGCUCUUCUCUUGGUCCACCAUCGCACUGUCCGGCGCGAUUGCGGCUGUGUUCAGCAAGGCCCGGCUGGCGGCCAUCAUCGCGCCUCUCAUCUACUUCGCGAUGGCGAUACCGCUCUUUGCGAUGGAAAGAGCCAGCGGGGGCGCCAAGAUGGGCAUCAUGAUCCUGGGCCCGAGCGCUUUUGCUGUCGGCUUCGCUCUGCUCUUUGAGCACGAGGUGAAUGGCGGCGCCGGAGUCGGUGCGCUGGCAUACUUCCGCGACGAGCCGAAACUGAUCGUUGUGUUUGUGCUCCUCUUUGUGGACAUCUUUGUGUACCUGCUGCUGAUGAUGUACUUCGACCGCGUGGUCCCGAAGGAGUGGGGGACGACGAAGAACCCGCUGUUCUUCGUCAUCGACCCCGUGCGGUGGUGCUUCUGCCGACGCCGCGCGGGCGACGCCGACAACGACGGCGACGUCCCGGGGGACGGGCGCGCGGAAGACGGCGUGUUCGAGGCGGUGGACCCUGCGGUGGAGGAGGCUGCGGCGGUGCGGAUCCGCGGGCUGCGCAAGACGUUCAGGCGCGGCGGCAAGGCGUUUGCUGCGGUGGACGACCUGUGCUGGUCGCUGAACGAGGGCGAGAUCUCUGUGCUGCUGGGCCACAACGGCGCGGGCAAGUCGACGACGAUGAACCUGAUGACCGGGAUGCUGGAAGCUGACGGCGGCGACUGCUACGUGUACGGGCACUCCGUGCGGCACGAGCUGAGCGCUGUGCGGCAGGAGAUCGGGCUGUGUCCGCAGCACAACAUCCUGUGGCCACAGCUGACGGUGCGGGAGCACCUGGACUACUACGCUGCCAUCAAGGGGCUGAGGGGUCUGAGAAGGAGGAUGCGAUCCGGCGGCUGCUUGCCGCGGUGGACCUGGAGGACAAGGAGCACUACAUGUCGAAGGCGCUGUCUGGCGGGCAGAAGCGGAAGCUGUCGGUUGCCGUUGCGUUUGUUGGCGGCAGCCGGCUCGUGAUCCUGGACGAGCCGACGGCCGGGAUGGACGUUGGCGCGCGGCGGCACACGUGGUCGCUGCUGAAGGAGAUGGCGAAGUGGCACACGAUUCUGCUGACGACGCACUUCAUGGACGAGGCGGACCUGCUCGGCGACACGGUUGCGAUCAUGAGCAAGGGGCGACUGCAGUGCGCGGGGUCGAACAUGUUCCUGAAGUCGAAGCUUGGCGUUGGGUUCGUGCUGACGAUGUCUGUCGUGUCGCACGCGCGGCGCGGACCGAUCGAGCAGAUGGUGCAGGCGCUCGUGCCUGCGGCGGAGGCUAUUGGCAGCGGCGCGGGCGAAGUCGCGUACCGGCUGCCGAUGGCGUCGAAGCCUAUGUUCCCCGACCUGCUUUGCGCUGUGGAGGAGGGCAUCCCCGGCCUUGGGAUCAACGCGUACUCGCUGUCGGCGACGACGCUGGAGGAGGUAUUCAUCAAGAUCGCGGAGGGCCCGGACGCGGAGCGCGACGCGGAUGCGCUUGCGGCGAAGGAGAAGGCGGAGGCGACGGAUGCUGUGUGGAACGUGGAGAUGGAGAAGGGGCGGUGGGCGCGGCGGCGGCUGCAGUUCCGCGCGAUGAUGGUGAAGCGGCUGUGGAACGCGCUGCGCGACCGGCGCACGCAGUUCUUCCAGAUCGUAUGCCCCGUCGCGUGCGUGCUGCUUGCGAUGCUGCUGACGCUGGUGAGGCUGUUCAGCACGCCGACGAUCGUGCUGAGCAGCGACGUGUACGGGACGGCGGUGGACAUCCCGCUUGCAAACUGCGAGGGCGUGCUGGACGUGACGACGCCGUUCUCGACGAAGGCGCACAUGGAUAUCUGGACGGACGUGCCGGACGCCUCUGCGUUCUCGACGAAGCUGAACAGGACGUACCAGACGCACGCGAAGGAGCGCUACGGCGGCGUCUCGUGCGCGGCUGCGGGCAGCGGGGAGCUGUACCACAGCGUCUUCUACAACACGUCGGCUUUGCAUGAGGUCGCCAUCGAGACAGCGAAUGUCUUCGCUGCCCAUCUUCGUGUGGCAACUGGCCGAGAUAACGUGAGUGUUACCACCGCUGUGGCAUCACUCCCCAAAACAUCGCAGCAGCGGGCGGUGGAGUCAUCUCUGUACGCGAUGAUGAUUGCCGUGAUCAUCAUGAUCCCGUUCACCUUCAUUCCUUCGACCUUUGUGGGCUGGAUUGUGAGGGAGCGCGAGUGCAAGGCGCGGCACCUGCAGAACGUCUCUGGCCUGAGCUUCUACAUCUACUGGCUAUCCAACUUCUUGUUUGACCUGUGCUCGUACAUCGUCACGAUGUGCCUCGUCAUCGUUGUCUUCCUCGCUUUCGGCCGUGACGAGUACGUAGCCGUGAACAACAUCGGCGCGACGUUUGUGGUGUUUCUGCUUUACGGCGUGUCGGGCAUUCUCAUGGCAUACGCGCUCAGCUUCGCCUUCGACAAUCAUUCCACCGCGCAGAAUGUUGUCAUGCUUGUCAACUUCAUUGUGGGCUUCCUGCUGGUACUGGCGGUGUCGGCGCUGUCGUUGGUGGAUGUGACGAGUAAGGUAGCCAACGUGCUUCGCUUUAUCUUCCGCAUUGUGCCGAGCUACUGCGUGGGCGAGGCAAUCAAUAACCUCGCGUCGCUCAAGGUGACCCGCGCGUUCGGCAUCGACACCAGCACAUGGGACAUGGACGUUGUGGGGUGGGUGUGCGUGUAUAUGGCGAUCGAGAUCCCGGUGUUCCUGUUCAUCACGCUGUUCAUCGACCACCCCGGGCGGCGGCAGCGCAGCCAGCGACUGUUCCACAACCCGGACGGUGCUGCGGAGGUGAUCGAGGACGAGGACGAGGACGUCGCGGCGGAGCGGCGCGCUGUGCUGGAGGGCGGCGAGCGCGAGGGCGACCUUGUGCGCGUGCUGAACCUUCGGAAGGAGUACCCGAACGGGAAGGUUGCUGUGCGGAACAUCGCGCUGGGUGUGAGGCCCGGGGAGGUGUUUGGGUUCCUGGGGACGAACGGCGCGGGCAAGACGACGACGAUCUCGAUCCUAUGCCAGGAGUUCUACCCGACGAGCGGGCGAGCCUACGUGUGCGGGAACGACAUUGUAACGGAGAGCAGCGAGGCGCUGCGGUGCAUCGGAUACUGCCCGCAGUUCGACGCGUGCCUGGACCUGCUGACGGUGGAGGAGCACCUGUACCUGUACGCCGGCGUGCGCGGGAUCUCGUCGCGCGCGUGCGACCGCGUUGUACGUGGGCUGAUGAAGCUGUGCGGGCUGACGGAGUACCGGCGCACGAAGUCGCACGAGCUGAGCGGCGGCAACCGGCGCAAGCUGUCUGUUGCUGUGUCGCUGAUUGGCGGGCCACGCGUUGUGUUCUUCGACGAGCCGUCGGCCGGCAUGGACCCCGUUGCGCGGCGCGGGCUGUGGAACGCGAUCGAGACGGUGGCGGACAACUGCUCCGUUGUGCUGACGACGCACCACCUGGAGGAGGUGGAGGCACUUGCGCACCGCGUUGCGAUCAUGGUGGACGGGACGCUGCGGUGCAUUGGCGACAAGACGCACCUGAAGCAGAAGUACGGGACGGGGUUCGAGGUGGCGGUGCGCGUGGCGGACGAGUCACCGGAGGUGAUGGCUGGCGUGGAGCUGUUCUUCGAGGAGGAGUUCCCGUCGAGCAAGCUGACGGAGGUGCGCGCGGGGCGCUUCACGUACCAGCUGCCGAGCACUGUGCGCCUGUCGAGCGUGUUCACUGCGCUGGAGCAGCAGAAGGAGAAGCUGCAGAUCCGCGACUACAGCGUGUCGCAGACGUCGAUUGAGCAGGUGUUCAUGCGCAUCAGCGAGAAGGCGGAGCUUGAGCACGAGGAGGAGCACCGGCAGCGCAUGGAGAGCAAGAAGUCGUGCUGCGUUUGCUGCUGCGGAGGCUUACCGCGCUGAGGAGCAUAAAGUAAGUGUUUGUAAGAGGUCGCGUGAAUGAACUUGUAUAUAGUUUUUUUGUCCUUGUUUUUAGUCCUCGAUCGUUGUCUAUUGUAUAGAAGACUGCUUUGAGGAGCGUUGGCAUCAGUUGAUUGGUGCUGAGUGAAGAACCGCGCACCUGUGCCUCUCUGUACAAGCUCAGUUGUAUAUAUGUCGGCUGAGCUGUUUUCGUGGUUUUUAAAUUGCGCUGCUGGACAGCAUAACAUCAGAAGAGUUGUGUCGGCGCUCACAUUAUUUGUUUUGAGGGGUUGCCACGUUGACUUGUCGCGUUCUCUGGGCGGGUGGUGGUGGACGCAUUUCCUCGGUCACUUUGAGGCUGAGGGCGCAGCAGGGAAUGCGUUUUUUGUUAUGCGCGAACGGGCGGGUGGCGAGGAGGAUGAGACAGCGCUGGGCGCCGAGGUGGGAAGGACGCGUCGAGAGAAGCGCUCUGCGGAGAAAGUCGAAAGCUGCCGCGUGCGCGAGGUACUGUUGUGGCAGGCGAGGGGCUCUCUGCAUGUUGCUCACACACUGAUCGUUUUUCGAUCGCGUCUGAAGCGAGAAAAGGCACACGUACGUGCCACUCUUUUCUUCCCUCACGCUUUUUUUUUCCGCAGCUGUGCCCCCCCCCCCCCCCCCCCGUGGACUGCAUUCUCGUUUUAGCUAACCUUGCCCGCCAGCGUCGAGGCACGUAGCCUCGUACCUGUGCUGAGCGAGAGGAGUUUUUCUUUCGGGUUUGCGUGCGUUUAUGUGAGUGUAUGCGCGCUCUUCCGUUUCCGAUUCCUUGCGCAGAACACGGGCGGAGCGCGCGCGAUAGCGCGGUGGAUUUUUCCUUGUGAUCCGGAUGUAUGUGAGUGUUUUGGCCAGUGCCGGACGUGCAGCUGUAUGCUAUUGUUUUUUAUUUUUUGUUUUCGAACAUGUAUUCUAAUUCUAAUCUUUCUCUGUUGUUUCGAUACCCUGCCUUCCCACCCCACAUGUGGGUGACAG